rnacentral:rRNA from 1 species
AAUGAACGCUGGCGGCAGGCCUAACACAUGCAAGUCGAACGAAGCCUUCGGGCUUAGUGGCGGACGGGUGAGUAACGCGUGGGAACAUACCCAAAGGUACGGAAUAGCCUCGGGAAACUGAGAGUAAUACCGUAUGUGCCCUUCGGGGGGAAAGAUUUAUCGCCAAAGGAUUGGCCCGCGUUGGAUUAGGUAGUUGGUGGGGUAAUGGCCUACCAAGCCGACGAUCCAUAGCUGGUUUGAGAGGAUGAUCAGCCACACUGGGACUGAGACACGGCCCAGACUCCUACGGGAGGCAGCAGUGGGGAAUCUUAGACAAUGGGGGAAACCCUGAUCUAGCCAUGCCGCGUGAUCGAUGAAGGCCUUAGGGUUGUAAAGAUCUUUCAGUUGGGAAGAUAAUGACGGUACCAACAGAAGAAGCCCCGGCUAACUCCGUGCCAGCAGCCGCGGUAAUGU